rnacentral:lncRNA from 1 species
CCGAGCCCGCCCGACGGCCAGGCUCUGAGCGUCCGGGCCCGCUGCGCCCGCCUGGCCGCUCCGGGAUGCACGUGAACUUGGAGAAAGUCACGGAGCACGCCGGCCCGGUCCUCCGCGGCAGGGCGUGGGCGCACGCGGGCCCGCACACUCUCGUUGGCGUCCGGGACAAAGGUCUCCAGUGGCGCCAGCCGUGGACGCGUGACUCGAUCCUUCGGGCCACUCUUGCGUGGUGGGUCGUUGGAUGUAAGACUGCAGAAGCCCGGAGAGCGGUGGGUCCCGGGUUUGGGGCCUCGCCGUAAGCUGGCCAGAGGCCGUCCCACCCUGCGAAGAGUUGCGGGAGCGGCUCCGCACUGCCCUCGGCUGUUUCUGCGCGCCCAGGAGCCCAACGCAAGUCACCCCGGACUCCAGCCAGCGGCCGCGGGCAUGCCAGCGCAGCGCUAGCGGCGGCCAAGACGUGGUCUGGCAGGGCGGUGGACGUGUGCGCCGCGGGCAUGAUCAAGGUUGGAGAGGUUCAUACCUGUUGGUGGAGAUGUUAGAGAGGAGUGGAGAUAAAAACUUGAUGAAGUCCGACACAGCUGGCUGGGAGUGAACCUGGAUGCUCCUAAGGACCCCCCAGGAAAGUAAGCACCUGGCAUGUGUAUCAGAAGACCCCCUAUGGCCUCACACACAGGUAGCUGUCUGCCCCACUUGGGCAGAGAAGGGCUCACUCCAUCAGACACAGACCCAGAGACGAUUGUGUGCUGGCAAACAGGAGGCCACCCAGAGUUGCUCUUUCAGAGAAGCCAGGGCCAGUCCUGUCCUCAGAGGCUCUACCUGGUGCCAGAUCUACCCUACCCUCAGCUCCUAAGGGGCUCAGCCUGGCCUCCAACCAGGGAGAGAGAUCCUUGCCCAGGACAGGGCAGGAG